ensembl:snRNA U6 U6 spliceosomal RNA
AUUAUAAAUAAAAAGGGUAUAUACAAAAAUUGGAACAAUACAGAAAAGAUUAGCAUGCUACCUGAGCAAAGAUGACACGGAAAUUUGUGAAGGAUCCCUUAUUUUA